CAUCGCGAGAUGGAAUCUGAAGGAAGCCGGAUGUUUCGUGGGAAAUACUAACCCGAAACGGGCAAAAUCCCGGCCUGACGAACAGAAAUAUCAUAUAAGUUUAUUCUGCAUGGACAAGAACGUAUGACAGUUCAAAGUCCAACACUGUCCGGAAUGCAGAGUGAUAAAUGAGGCAGGUACAUGGGAUGAAAGCUG
rnacentral:ncRNA from 1 species